UACGUAGGGUGCAAGCGUUAAUCGGAAUUACUGGGCGUAAAGCGCACGUAGGCGGAUUGUUAAGUCAGGGGUGAAAUCCCAGAGCUCAACUCUGGAACUGCCUUUGAUACUGGCAAUCUCGAGUCCGGAAGAGGUGAGUGGAACUCCUAGUGUAGAGGUGGAAUUCGUAGAUAUUAGGAAGAACACCAGUGGCGAAGGCGGCUCAGCUGGUCCGGAACUGACGCUGAGGUGCGAAAGCGUGGGGAGCAAACAGG
rnacentral:rRNA from 1 species